rnacentral:lncRNA from 1 species
GUAAAGGUAAAAAUGGUAGAAAAAUAGGUUAUACAAAAAUAAAAUAUUCUUUUUAUAUAUUGUUAUAAAUAUAUGAGACUAUAGGGUAGGGUUUUUAUCUUAGAUGUGGGAAUAGCAUAAGCUGACUAACAAAUGAGCAUUUAAUUUGCCACCUCCAUUUGAACCGACACCCUCCAUAGUUUCAAAAUUUCAAAACUAUCAAAAAUUUAGAACAAAUUUUCGUAAGAAAUUUCUGUUACUCUAAACUUUUAGUAGUAGUGUAUUUAUAAUUUUCGGUAUACUAGAAUUUAUGUUGAACUUUAAAAUAUUAUCGAAAAUUCUAAAUGUUUU